UACGUAGGAGGCAAGCGUUGUCCGGAUUUAUUGGGCGUAAAGCGCACGCAGGCGGUCGUCUCAGUCCAGGGUGACAGUUUCCGGCUUAACCGGAAAAGGACUCUGGAGACGGUACGACUUGAGGGCUUCAGAGGGAUGUGGAAUUCCAGGUGGAGUGGUGAAAUGCGUAGAGAUCUGGAAGAACACCAAAGGCGAAGGCAACAUCCUGGGGAGUCACUGACGCUCGGGUGCGAAAGCUAGGGGAGCGAACGGG
rnacentral:rRNA from 1 species